rnacentral:tRNA from 1 species
UCCCUGGAGGACUAGUGGUUAGGCCACAGUGCUCUCGCCGCCAUGACCCGGGUUUGAUUCCCAGCCAGGGAA